rnacentral:rRNA from 1 species
GAUGAACGCUGGCGGCGUGCCUAACACAUGCAAGUCGAACGGAGUCCAGCCUUUAAGACCUUCGGGUCAAAGAGGGGAAGACUGAGUGGCGGACGGUUGAGUAACACGUGGGCAACCUGGCUCAUAGAGGGGGAUAACAGAGAGAAAUUUCUGCUAAUACCGCAUAAGCACACACUGCCGCAUGGCGGAGGGUGAAAAGAGAAUCGCUAUGAGAUGGACCCGCGUCUGAUUAGCCAGUUGGCAGGGUAAGAGCCUACCAAAGCGACGAUCAGUAGCCGAUCUGAGAGGAUGAACGGCCACAUUGGGACUGAGACACGGCCCAAACUCCUACGGGAGGCAGCAGUGGGGGAUAUUGCACAAUGGGGGGAACCCUGAUGCAGCGACGCCGCGUGAGUGAAGAAGUAUUUCGGUAUGUAAAGCUCUAUCAGCAGGGAAGAUAAUGACAGUACCUGAAUAAGAAGCCCCGGCUAACUACGUG